UACGUAGGUGGCAAGCGUUAUCCGGAAUGAUUGGGCGUAAAGGGUGCGUAGGCGGCCUGCUAAGUCUGGAGUGAAAGGUACCGGCUCAACCGGUACAGGCUCUGGAAACUGGCGGGCUAGAGAGCAGGAGAGGGCGGUGGAACUCCAUGUGUAGCGGUAAAAUGCGUAGAUAUAUGGAAGAACACCAGUGGCGAAGGCGGCUGUCUGGUCUGCAACUGACGCUGAGGCUCGAAAGCAUGGGUAGCGAACAGG
rnacentral:rRNA from 1 species